rnacentral:rRNA from 1 species
AACGAACGCUGGCGGCAGGCCUAACACAUGCAAGUCGAGCGCCCUCUUCGGAGGGAGCGGCGGACGGGUUAGUAACGCGUGGGAACGUACCCAGAUCUAAGGAAUAGCCACUGGAAACGGUGAGUAAUACCUUAUACGCCCUUCGGGGGAAAGAUUUAUCGGAUUUGGAUCGGCCCGCGUUAGAUUAGGUAGUUGGUGGGGUAACGGCCUACCAAGCCUACGAUCUAUAGCUGGUUUUAGAGGAUGAUCAGCAACACUGGGACUGAGACACGGCCCAGACUCCUACGGGAGGCAGCAGUGGGGAAUCUUGCAAUGGGCGCAAGCCUGACAGCCAUGCCGCGUGAGGAUGAGGCCUAGGGUGU